GGCGGAUGUAGCCAAGUGGAUCAAGCA
rnacentral:tRNA from 1 species